rnacentral:rRNA from 1 species
CGGACGGGUGAGUAACGCGUGGGUAACCUACCUUAUACAGGGGAGUAACAGUCAGAAAUGGCUGCUAAUACCGCAUAAGCGCACAGAGCUGCAUGGCUCAGUGUGAAAAACUCCGGUGGUAUAAGAUGGACCCGCGUUGGAUUAGCUGGUUGGUGGGGUAACGGCCCACCAAGGCGACGAUCCAUAGCCGGCCUGAGAGGGUGACCGGCCACAUUGGGACUGAGACACGGCCCAA